rnacentral:rRNA from 1 species
GUGGAUGCCUUGGCAUGCACAGGCGAUGAAGGACGUGAUACGCUGCGAUAAGCCGUGGGGAGCUGCGAAUAAGCUUUGAUCCAUGGACCUCCGAAUGGGGAAACCCACCUUAAAUGCUUGGGAAAUCUGUUCUGCUGUGCGUUGGUCUGAUGAAAAUCAGGCUGGCGGUUUUGGCGGUUCAGGUUUCCAAGCAUUGAUAAUAAGGUAUCUUACCCUGAAUACAUAGGGUGUAAGAAGCGAACGCAGGGAACUGAAACAUCUAAGUACCUGCAGGAAAGGACAUCAACCGAGACUCCGCAAGUAGUGGC